rnacentral:rRNA from 1 species
UAGGGAAUCUUCGGCAAUGGACGAACGUCUGACCGAGCAACGCCGCGUGAGUGAAGAAGGUUUUCGGAUCGUAAAACUCUGUUGUUAGAGAAGAACAAGGACGUUAGUAACUGAACGUCCCCUGACGGUAUCUAACCAGAAAGCCACGGCUAACUACGUGCCAGCAGCCGCGGUAAUACGUAGGUGGCAAGCGUUGUCCGGAUUUAUUGGGCGUAAAGCGAGCGCAGGCGGUGUCUUAAGUCUGAUGUGAAAGCCCCCGGCUCAACCGGGGAGGGUCAUUAGAAACUGGGAGACUUGAGUGCAGAAGAGGAGAGUGGAAUUCCAUGUGUAGCGGUGAAAUGCGUAGAUAUAUGGAGGAACACCAGUGGCGAAGGCGGCUCUCUGGUCUGUAACUGACGCUGAGGCUCGAAAGCGUGGGGAGCAAACAGG